AUGAUUUGCAGAUUCUUUUGGGCACAACAGGAUGAGGACCAAAAGAUUCAUUGGCUCUCGCUAGAGAAACUUACUAGGUCAAAGAAGGAGGGAGGCCUAGGGUUUAAGGACCUUCAUGUUUUCAACCUUUCCAUGCUAGCUAAGCAGGCCUGGAGACUCUUGGAUAAUGCGGACUCGCUCUGUGCACGAGUACUCAAGGCAAAGUAUUACCCAAAUACGGAUAUCCUUAAUGUUGUACAAAAGGAGGGGAUGUCAUAUGCAUGGCGGAGCAUCUUGAAGGGA
rnacentral:rRNA from 1 species